rnacentral:lncRNA from 1 species
CCGGUAGUACAACACAAAGAACCGAAAAGUGUCUUUCAAGCAUAUUUCCAUGGGAAGACUUGCACAAGUGCCUACGCCCUUAUUAUCGUCCUUCUUUACACCGGCCUCCUAGCCGAAGGUAUGUGUUCAUAUCUAAAAUACAAUAGUAUGAAGAAACAAAAUUGUAGUGGAGGCUUUGCUUGCUCAAAAUUCACACAAACUUGCCAGUACACAUGACACAAUGUUGUAAAUAAUAUACUCAUGUAGCGUGAAAGGUAUAUUUUUCUAUGUUUUUUUGGUUACUUUUGAACAACUUGCAACACGUAAAUUUACCGUUGUAUAAAUAAUAAUAUAAUAUACAUGUGAAGCAGGAGCAAUGGGAACCAGCGAUACCGAGCAAGUCCGUCUACAAUCCUUGAAGCUGAUGGGCUUAUUAACGCAGGAAAGCGACCUCAAGUUAUGCAGGCCAUGCCAUUGUUUGUGCGAGGGCAAGGGCGAUCAAUGUGAUGCAACGAAAUGCUGCUAUCUGGCCAAGUGUACCACGCAACAACCUCUCAGGUGUUGGCUAGACUUGCUUCAAUGCAGCGGUUGUGAUAAUUGCAAGUGAUCACUGUAUGUACAUGAUCGAUUGGUGGAUGACAUCAUCACAAUAACGAUUUCGAGAAAAACUUUUACCAUAUUUUUUUGAGUGGACAAACAGAUUUGACUUUCAGCAAUUGAGGGGAGUUAGAUUUUUGUGAGUAGUAGUUAGAUGUAUACUAGCAAAAAUACUUGUGCAUUGCUAUAGGAGACAUAAUUGAUGUGUAUUUAAAUUUAGUUAGAAUUAGAUGGGCAAAACACAAUGAUAGUUCAUGCGAAAUUUAAUGCGCACAAAUUUUUUAGACCCACACAAUAGCAAGUUAUAUACGGAUUCCAAAUGGACUUCAAUUUUUUAUAUAGAGCUAUAAUUCAUCAUCAUAUUCUAAGUUAAAAUAGAACUACUAGUUAUCUUCGAUCACAGCUUGAAAUAUUCCAUGAUGGUUGUAGAUGUGGUGCCGACAUGUCUUGGGUGGCGGUGAGCACCAGUUGUUAGCGAUCCGUGCCGUUAUCACACAAUAUUAACAAAAUUAAUAAAAGUGUAAAUACUGGCAUUUUACACAAACAAUUCUAGAAAACAAAAAUAGUAGGUAGCAAGUUUGGAGGUCCUAAAACAUGUGUUUCAAUUGUGAAAGGAUGAUAUAUAUGUUAUCAACCAAUAAGGAGAAGACGUACUGCACUAUCUUUGUAAAUAAAGCAGUAUUAAUAAAAAGCAUAAAUAAUAAGAUCACACGGUUGAUUGAUAUAUUAAUAUUACUAGUAGAAUGCCCGUGCGUUGCCACGGGCAAUGGAUAUUUUUUUUGCCGGUUGCAUAUAUAAAUAUUUCAAUGGUUCAACACGUGUCGUGUCCUUGCGAUUCUUAUACACAUCUGAUAUUGUCGAACUUUUUACAACACAAUAUCCGCAUCCAGCCGCUACUAUCACAGUGGGUACGUUGCUACUUAGUAAACAAAUACAUAAUAAUCAUUUUAUUCUAGAACAUACAAUAAAUUUAUUGUUAAUGAUGGGAAAUCCACUUUUUUUUGCUUGAUUGGUGGCAUGGGGCCACCCCUUUAUGUUCUUCCUUCCCUCUUCUUUUUUCUAUCUAUGGCAGUCCCGAGAUAACUAUUUAUGAGCUUGCCAACUCUGGUUGGGAUUUGGCCUUCCGUCGCUCCCUUUCUCAUGCAGAGUUGAAACAGUGGCAUCAGCUUACUGCCACCUUCCUCUCGCUCUCGGAGACUUUGGAUUCAGUGGUCUGACCUCAUUCCUCCUUGGGUGUUUUUUUGGUGAAGUCGCUUUACCGCAAGCUCAUUUCGGGUUCUAUUACUCUGAAGUUAAAGGGUGUUUGGAGGGCUUGUGUUCCGCUUCAAAUCUAAAUCUUUCUUUGGCAAGCUAUUCGUGGAAAGCUCCAUGCUGCUACUUGUUGGGAUCAAAUUAAGAAGCGUAAUUCUAGGGCUGCGGCAACGUGAUCUCUUUGUUCCCGGGCAGAAGAUUCUGAUCAUAUUUUAUUUUCUUAUGAUUUUGCGGUCUUGUUGUGGAGCUGUACUCGGUGGUCUCCGUCUAGCUUCGUUCAGUUAUCACCUCUCGCCAGUUCUAGUUAUCACCUCUCGCCAGUUCUUUGUCUGGGCAGCUAUGGCAUGUUUUCUAGUUUGGCUUUGCUGCAGUCAUUUAGGUUCUCUGGACGACCUGAAAUAAAUUUACCAUUGAACAUGUGUUCCCUUCGAAACCACCUGAUAUGCUUAUCUCACGCGUUAGGGCUACGGCGAUCUCUCCUUCUAAAUCUACGGCUUUGCUACGCGUUAGUCUGUCUUUAGCUAGCUUAUGUUUUUGGUACCUGGUUGUGGCAUGUGUGCCUGAACUUGAACUUGGUCUGUUGGGUUGUGCUGGUUUGUGCUGCCGUGGCAUUUGAUUUUAUGUGUGUGACAAUGUUGUGAACCUUAUGUGGCUUUAUUUAUAAGGUCGGGAAUAGUCUUUUCUCUAAGAAGAAGUGUUUAUCUUUGAUUUGAUGGCACCCAAACUAUUCUUUUAAACGAUAUAUCUCUGCGGCCCUAUAACACAAGAAAUAAAGGUAUUUCUUUGCAAAGGAAUAUUUUGUAUGGAUUUAAACCCCAAGAAAUAAUUUUCUGCAAAGAUACUUUUGAACAUUGUAACAAAAUAGCAAAAAAUAACUCUGAUAUGCUCCUUGAUUUUGUAUGAUUACAAUAUCCACUUUUCACCACGAACUCCCAUUUGUAAUAUUGCUAAGAGUAGUAAAGAUUACAUGAACUUCCAUCCUAGCAAGAGGAUAAUUGGGAACAAUGAAAGAACAAUUAGAACUAUACAUACGAAAAUAAGCUAGGGCUCGCAUUUGGUUCAAUGUGCUAAUGUUCCCUAAAAUAAAACUGGGACAACAUGCCAAGAAAGCAAAAAAAAAA